rnacentral:rRNA from 1 species
UACGUAGAGGGCAAGCGUUAUCCGGAUUUACUGGGUGUAAAGGGGGCGCAGACGGCGAUGCAAGCCAGGAGUGAAAGCCCGGGGCCCAACCCCGGGACUGCUCUUGGAACUGCGGCGCUGGAGUACGGGAGGGGCAGGCGGAAUUCCUGGUGUAGCGGUGAAAUGCGUAGAUAUCAGGAGGAACACCGGCGGCGAAGGCGGCCUGCUGGACCGUGACUGACGUUGAGGCUCGAGAGCGUGGGGAGCAAACAGG